rnacentral:misc_RNA from 1 species
GCCAAAAACUCUUGUAUGUGAAGAUGGAUCUGAUACAAUUUUCAUCCGGUGGUGGUGGUCGGAUGUAGGGAUACCCAUUAACUGGGCUGCCGAUUUCAUUGCCCCAAUGAAGAGGUCAAUCCGUCCACUCUUUAGCAUUCUCUUUCUGAUUGUGUUUGCUAUUACACUUAGUUGCCGGAUCCUAAUCCGCCGUGGCGGCCGCUUCAGCUCAAUUGAGCUCCAAACCAAUGUCAUAGUCCAACCACCAG